GAUGCUGAUGCUGCCGGCUCCUUGCCUCGCACCACACCGUGCUGGCUGAGCGGCUUUCGGACGGGGGACGGAGGGGCCUCCCAUGUGGCGCCGCCGGUGCAACGCUCCCCCUCGACACCGUGUGCUCUUCCCAAAGAGGUCAGAAGAGGAGAAAACACAAGUUUCCUUAUAUGGACAGAACAUUUCACAGUAGAUCCAUCAAGCUCCUAAGCUGAAAUGCCAAACAUCCCUGCAUAACCGGCAUACCUUUCACCUUGGAGCUGAAGUCUUUGGGAGUGACAACAGAUCAUAACACACGCUCCUGUCCUCGGUCUUGACCAUAUAAGGGGGUGCUGAGGAAUCUCAUGCACCCAAAACUUGGCCCAAAAAGCCACCCUCCUGCAAAAUUGCAUUCCACUUUGCAAACUAUGAAGAAGUUUUCCAAAUGUUCGUAAAAAGAAGCCUUACCUGUG